UUUCUCACGCUCCCCUGCGACCUCUUUGCUUCUCAUCUUCUUCCUUUCUUGGGUCUUAGGCGAGAAAAUCACAAGGUCUCUCUCUUCUUCUCUUUUCUUCAAUUCGUUUUCGAAUUGUCUCGUCUUCUGUUUUCAUUGAAUCCCACACACAACACGGCCGAGUUCGUCUCCGAACUUCUUAUCGAUCUCAACGCUCACCACGAAGAAGAGAAAGGGCCAGUUGAUUUUGAGGAUUUGGAGUAACUUGAGAAUCCAAAUCAUCAUGUCACCUCAAUGCAAUGUAUGAAUCUUUAUUGCAAAGUGAAAGGUCACAUCAUGUUAUCUGUUAUGCCUCGAAUCAGCCCGAACCGAGAUUUCCAAAGCAGAGCUUGAUCUUUUGCAAACUGUCCAAGAAAAUGCACACCUCCGCUCACAAAUUGUUCAAUCUCCAGACAAAUUGCAGGUAUAUAUUUGGUCAUACUAGCACUAGUCGUAAGAUAAAAUUUUGUGGCGUGAUGUGGAGACAGGGAGGGAGCCUUAGAAGAGAAGAAGCUAGUACGUAGUACCUUUGGGAAACAAAGAAAGCUGAGCAAUCAGCAAUGUAAACUUUCCAGGAAAAGGCUGCCAUUCUUGAGGUCUAUGAAAAGGUAUACCAAUGCGAAAGCUGUUGAGAAAGAAUACAAAGCUCUUAAAAGCUAAAUUGAGCGAUCAUGGAGUAGCGUACAAAUCACUUGAGGCGAAAGUGGUUGAAAGUCGUGGUUUAUUUCUUUCCUCUUUAGAUAUUGUUUCGUAAUUUUGUUUUGGGAUGGAGGCUGUAAUUUUCUAAACGAAUCAUUGAAACUAGCAACUAGAGAAGGAAAAAGCAGUCAUGUUUCCAUGACUGGAAAAAACAUUUAAAUAAACUAAAAGUGGAGGUUGAAUCUAAAAGAGGUGAACUUGUGACAACAUCCGUUUGCCUGGCUUCAAGUCCACGUCUUUUAGAUUCAACCUCCACUUUUAGUAGACAAGGACAGGGAAUGAUUAAAAACCUAGGCUCGAGGCGAGUUAAGGCUCAGGGUUCAUCGCCUCUAUAGAUGAGGCGAUGCUAUGACCCAAAGGCGCUCGCUCCGUGACGCCUUGGUAUCAAGCGCCCCUCUCGUCGCUUUGCGCCUAUGAAGAAAAGUUGCGCCUCAGACACCAAAGGCUCGGAGCGAAGUGCGGCUAGGCUCAGGGCGCAAAACCAGCCCUUCGUAGCCUUACCUCGCCUCUCGCCUCUCGCCUCUCGCCUCUCGCCUCUCGCCAUUUAAAACAUAGAUGUUGAAUGAAUCAGUAGUAGCUGUGUGGUUGAUUGAUGACAAUACUGCCAAGAUUAAGCAGAUGAGACAGUCAGGAAAAGAAGCUAGAGUGAACAGUUAGCCGCUAAAUAUGAAGAGAUCGUGAAGCAGUUUCAUGAAUACACAUACAUGAUGUCUUUUGAUAUGUUUCUACCAAGCCUUUAAAGGUCAAGGCAAGUUCUGAUUGAAGUAUAGACCCACAAAGAUCAUCGACCGUUUAGAUAUAUAUAUAUAUAUAUAGAGAGAGAGAGAGAGAGAUUUUAACGACCACAUUUUCUCUUCAAAUUGUUAAAAGACUCGUUUAGACAUUAUCAAUGUGAUUGUUGUAUUAAACUUGGGAAAUGUUAUAACUUAUAUCAGUUUAUGUUGACUAA